AAUAAAAGAUUAGUCUAAGUUUGCCCAAGUAUGCAAUUCAAUUGAAUGAGACUUGAUUAAGUAAAUUGAAUAUGCUUGCAACUAAAGAAUGCACGGAGAAGAGUUAAGCACGCAUAGUAUCUAAGUAAGUAAGUGAGUGAGGAAGUCAGACAACAAAGAGCAUCACAAACACAACAAAAGUAUGGUGGUUCGGUACAUCCCAGCACCUACAUCCACUCCCCAAGACCUCUUGGGAAUUUCACUAUAAUCCCUCAGAUUACAGCCGGUUGUUUUACAAGCUCACAACCCAACUUAUUGUUUUGCGAGAUCACAACGAACUCGGUCGGUUUUCACAGGCUCACUGACUAGAACCAACCGAUUGUUUUCACGGGCUCACAAUCCAACCCAGUUGGUUUUUUCAAAGGCUCACCAACCACAACCUUACAACGAUUGUUUUCCGGGUUCACAAUCAACCCAGUUGGUUUU
rnacentral:lncRNA from 1 species